CUCAUCGUCAUUCCCAUGUUGUGAAGCUGCUGCCGCCGCCACUGCCUUAGCUAAUUCCUCAGGAUCCAGAGCCCCCAAAUGCCCGCCCAGUAUCGUCAGAAGAUUUCGAUCCUGACAUAUAGCUCUCACAUAGUCAGCCGGAGUAUGAACAACUGGAUGGCUCGAUGACUGUGUAGACUGGGUAGAAGAGCAGCCUGAGCCACUGAAGGAUGGGCGUCGUCGUUGUCCUUGACCUUUAAUGUAGUUCUUCUUCACAACAGACGCCCUCU
rnacentral:lncRNA from 1 species